UACGAAGGGGGCGAGCGUUGUUCGGAAUUACUGGGCGUAAAGGGCGCGUAGGCGGCCGAUCACGUCAGAUGUGAAAGUCCUGGGCUUAACCUGGGGACUGCAUUUGAUACUGAUUGGCUUGAAUUCGGGAGAGGAUAGCGGAAUUCCCAGUGUAGAGGUGAAAUUCGUAGAUAUUGGGAAGAACACCGGUGGCGAAGGCGGCUAUCUGGACCGACAUUGACGCUGAGGCGCGAAAGCGUGGGGAGCAAACAGG
rnacentral:rRNA from 1 species